CACACACUGCUGAGUGACCAGGUGGUUUAUAACUUACCUGAUGAGAGCUGCUUUCUCAUUGGCACACUCAAAGAUGAAACGGGCAGGGGCUCCAUCUGGUUUUGAAGUAGCGGAUGGAGGACGAGAGCGUGAUGACAUCACUGAAACCUCCUCCCUCCGUGACGAGCAGAGCAGCCUCCUCUCUCUCUCCUAUCGUUCAGAUUGCUAUGUGUAAGGCAGAAGACAGAGGGACUGAACUGAAGCCAUGUUAACGUUAGAAUCUGACGGGGUGUGACCACUGUUCAUAUUGAAAACACUAUUACUGAGGGG